CCCUUAGAUGUCCUGGGCCGCACGCGCACUACACUGAGUGUCUGAGAUACGAGUCUGCCUGGUCCGGCAAGGUCUAGGUAAUCGCUAAAAGACACAUCAUGCUUGGGAUAGAUUAUUGCAAAUAUUAAUCUUGAACGAGGAAUUCCUAGUAAGCGCAAGUCAACAGCUUGCGUUGAUUACGUCCCUGCCCUUUGUACACACCGCCCGUCGCUACUACUGAUUGGAUGUUUAAGCGAGGUUCUCGAACUGCUAGCGACUUAGCUUCGGUGAGGUCGCAGUGUGGGGAGUGAACCUAGCUUUGGUGUCUAGAGGAAGUAAAAGUCGUAACA
rnacentral:rRNA from 1 species